rnacentral:rRNA from 1 species
AUGCCUUUACUGAUUGAAGGAGAAAAUUGCUACCAAGGAGAAAACAUAAGGUAUGUAAUUUUGAAGUACCAAUUUAGAGGUGCAGUUUUGUGUUUUCUUCCAUUGGGCAUUUUACAAUUUGUUCAUGAAUUUGCACAUGCUAACUAUAAGCAGAUGAAUAUCUUGUGGAGAAAACAGAGGGUGUAUACAAAUGAGUUCAUGCUCUUGUCAGUUUUUCUUUGUGGAAUUACCAUGUCGGCGCUGGUGGCAUUGAACAUGUCGACGAUGGGGGCAGUGCCAUCCUUGAUGAUUCAGUUCAGGAUCUCCCACUUGGCGGCGUCCUUGGCGCUGUAG